GGCUUUUUGUCCUUGGGGCUGUGGUGAUCACAUUCCUCCUCAGUGAGGGUAGCAGGCCAAGAUCGGUCUCUUCAUCAGGACUGCGUGAGCAGGCAGCCUUGUUUUCUGGCCUCAGACAAUA